rnacentral:tRNA from 1 species
UCUUUAAUGGCUCAGAGGUUAAAGCGUCUGCUUGCAAUGUGGAAGACCUGGGUUCGAUCCCUGGGUCGGGAA